rnacentral:rRNA from 1 species
CCUACGGGGUGCACCAGUGGGGAAUAUUGCACAAUGGGCGCAAGCCUGAUGCAGCCAUGCCGCGUGUAUGAAGAAGGCCUUCGGGUUGUAAAGUACUUUCAGCGGGGAGGAAGGCGAUAAGGUUAAUAACCUUGUCGAUUGACGUUACCCGCAGAAGAAGCACCGGCUAACUCCGUGCCAGCAGCCGCGGUAAUACGGAGGGUGCAAGCGUUAAUCGGAAUUACUGGGCGUAAAGCGCACGCAGGCGGUCUGUCAAGUCGGGUGUGAAAUCCCCGGGCUCAACCUGGGUACUGCAUUCGAAUCUGGCAGGCUGGAGUCUUGUAGAGGGGGGUAGAAUUCCAGGUGUAGCGGUGAAAUGCGUAGAUAUAUGGGGGAACACCAGUGGCGAAGGCGACUCUCUGGUCUGUAACUGACGCUGAGGCUCGAAAGCGUGGGGAGCAAACAGGAUUAGAUACCCGAGUAGUC